GACGUAGGGCGCGAGCGUUGUCCGGAUUUAUUGGGCGUAAAGAGCUCGUAGGCGGCUUGUCGCGCCGACUGUGAAAACUCGGGGCUCAACUCCGAGCUUGCAGUCGAUACGGGCAGGCUAGAGUUCGGUAGGGGAGACCGGAAUUCCUGGUGUAGCGGUGAAAUGCGCAGAUAUCAGGAGGAACACCGGUGGCGAAGGCGGGUCUCUGGGCCGAUACUGACGCUGAGGAGCGAAAGCGUGGGGAGCGAACAGG
rnacentral:rRNA from 1 species